rnacentral:lncRNA from 1 species
GUUAGGUGAAGAUCUUCGAGCCACUUGAGAUGCGAGAAGAUAUUAAAGUCAAUUGGACCUUGUGUCUUGUAAUUGGAAAGGUGAAGUUCUACAAGGUUGGUAAAUUUUGAUAUCGUGGCUGGGAUUGGCCCUCUCAAGUUGUUAUUGCCAACGUAUAACAGUCCUAGCUGAGGUGGUGAAGAUAUAUUCCCAAGGUCAAGAAUACCAUUGAAUCGGUUAUCAGACAAUCUAACAUAUUCAAUAGAAGGAAUGGUGAAGAGAGAAGAAGGCAGGGUUCCAGUGAAAGCGUUGUUACUUCCAUCAAAGGUCGUCAAUUUGGAUAGUGAAGUGAUGUUAUGAGGAAUUGUUCCUGUGAACUGAUUGUAAUAGAGUCCUAAAUAUGACAACUUUGUCAAAUUCAGUAGUUCAAUGGGAAAGCUUCCAUUGAGCCUAUUGAGACCAACAUUUAAGCUGGUCAACUGGUUUAGAUUGCCAAAAGAAGAUGGGAUUUCUCCAACAAUCUCGUUCCCAGAAAGGUCAAGAUAAGUGAGGUUAUAAAGAUUUCCAAUAGAAGAUGGAAUCUUACCCGAAAUUUGAUUCAAAUGAAGGUUAAGAUAGGUGAGAUGAGAAAGGUUUCCAAUUGAAGAUGGAAUCGGACCAGAAAAACUAUUAGAUGAAAGAUCGAGAAAGGUGAGAUUCGAAAGGUCUAUAAUCGAAGAAAAAAUGAACUCGCUGAACUGAUUAAGUGAAAGGUCGAGAGAGGUGAUAUGAGAAAGGUUUUUAAUUGAAGACAUGAUUUGACCACUAAAACGAUUUCUUGAAAGGUCUAGGGUGGUUAGAGAAUGAAGGUUUUGAAGACUGCUAUUGGAAUGAAACCGGCCACCUAGGUAGCUGCAACUAAGGUCUAGCUCGAUCACUUCACCGGACUUGACGUUGCACGUGAUUGUAACGUCCCGACCCGCCCACGGCUAAUAGGCCACCCACGCCCGCUCUCUCGGCCCGUGGGCCCCAUCCCGUCUGACGGUCGGUCCGUUAAUUUUCCAAAGGCUCGAAAUCAUUGUUUACUGACCCUGCAAUCACCACCCGACCUUUUCCCAUGCUUUGGCCUCACUCGCACGCUAUCGCGAAUCACUUCCCGAUAGGUCACCCAUCCUUCCACUACUCCAGCUCAAGCACGCUUAACUCUGGAGUUCUUUCAGGAUGUGUUCCGGAAAAGGUAAGUCAACUUUGGUGACAUAGGUAGCCAAAUCAAUUAUCUUAAGCCUUUUUCACAUAUCACAACUCGGGAUGUUACAAUUCACCCCAUCUCAAAGAACGCAACGUCCUCGUUGCGCCCCAUGACAGGUCUUAAGACGCCUCUCAGGUCAGAACUGAGACGGCUAACCAGCUCUGAUACCACUUAUAACGCCCCGACCCGCCCACGGCUAAUGGGCCACCCACGCCCGCUCUCUCGGCCCGUGGGCCCCAUCCCGUCUGACGGUCGGUCCGUUAAUUUUCCAAAGGCUCGAAAUCAUUGUUUACUGACCCUGCAAUCACCACCCGACCUUUUCCCAUGCUUUGGCCUCACUCGCACGCUAUCGCGAAUCACUUCCCGAUAGGUCACCCAUCCUUCCACUACUCCAGCUCAAGCAUGCUUAACUCUGGAGUUCUUUCAGGAUGUGUUCCGGAAAAGGUAAGUCAACUUUGGUGACAUAGGUAGCCAAAUCAAUUCUCUUAAGCCUUUUUCACAUAUCACAACUCGGGAUGUUACAAUUUCCCACCAAAGGUUAUCGGAAUGGGAAACCUGAAAGAACUCCAGAGUUAAGCGUGCUUGAGCUGGAGUAGUGGAAGGAUGGGUGACCUAUCGGGAAGUGAUUCGCGAUAGCGUGUGAGUGAGGCCAAAGCACGGGAAAAGGUCGGGUGGUGAUUGCAGGGUCAGUAAACAAUGAUUUCGGGUCUUAGAAAAUUAACGGACUGACCGUCAGACGGGAUGGGGCCCACGGGCCGAGUGAGCGGGCGUGGGUGGCCCAUUAGCCGUGGGCGGGUCGGGGCGUUAUAAGUGGUAGGGAUUGUCGGAGUAGGCCAUUUGGUGCACGGGGAGUAGCACCAGCAGCACCAGCAGGACAGGCAGCACCAGCAGGACAGGCAGCACCAGCAGCACAGCCAGCACCAGUAGCACAGGGAGCGCAGGCAGCACCAGCUGCACCAUACGCACCAGGAGCUUGCUUCACUUGUGGCCAGUUUGGCCAUAUCUCCAGGUUUUGCCCGACUAAAGGGCCUGGGGCCAAGCGUCAAGCCAUCACCCCGCGUGUUUAUGCUCUAGGAGAGGCCAAUGGAGCUGAGCCGAUAGCCGGUAUGUAUCCUUAUCAUUUCUUUUUUUUUUUUUUGAGUAAUUGUGUUUUGGUGGAUAUCUAGUUAGAAAAAAAAAAAAAAGUCGACUUUUUUUGUGACAACCCGCCCCGUGGGAACUACCCGCCCCUUGGGCCCCAGGCUCACAGCGCUGCAGCGCACCGACCCCAACCCCUCAAUUAUGAGUUCUCUCUAACUCCAUAAUUAGGUUGUUGGUGAGCCUCGAACCCAGGACCUCACCCUUUAACAGCAUUCCCACAGGACAAGCUGUCACCAAUUGAUCUGCAGAUCAAUUGGUGACAGCUUGUCCUGUGGGAAUGCUGUUAAAGGGUGAGGUCCUGGGUUCGAGGCUCACCAACAACCUAAUUAUGGAGUUAGAGAGAACUCAUAAUAGAGGGGUUGGGGUCGGUGCGCUGCAGCGCUGUGAGCCUGGGGCCCAAGGGGCGGGUAGUUCCCGUGCUUUGGCCUCACUCACACGCUAUCGCGAAUCACUUCCCGAUAGGUCACCCAUCCUUCCACUACUCCAGCUCAAGCACGCUUAACUCUGGAGUUCUUUCAGGAUGUGCUCCGGGUUGUUACAAUUUCAGCAUGGGAAAAGGUCGGGUGGUGAUUGCAGGGUCAGUAAACAAUGAUUUCGAGCCUUUGGAAAAUUAACGGACCGACCGUCAGACGGGAUGGGGCCCACGGGCCGAGAGAGCGGGCGUGGGUGGCCUAUUAGCCGUGGGCGGGUCGGGACGUUACAAGUGGUAUCAGAGCUGGUUAGCCGUCUCAGUUCCGACCUGAGAGGCGUCUUGAGACCUGUCGGGGGCGCAACGAGGACGUUGCGUUCUUUGAGAGGGGGUGAAUUGUAACAUCCCGAGUUGUGAUAUGUGAAAAAGGCUUAAGAGAAUUGAUUUGGCUACCUAUGUCACCAAAGUUGACUUACCUUUUCCGGAACACAUCCUGAAAGAAUUCCAGAGUUAAGCGUGCUUGAGCUGGAGUAGUGGAAGGAUGGGUGACCUAUCGGGAAGUGAUUCGCGAUAGCGUGCGAGUGAGGCCAAAGCAUGGGAAAAGGUCGGGUGGUGAUUGCAGGGUCAGUAAACAAUGAUUUCGAGCCUUUGGAAAAUUAACGGACCGACCGUCAGACGGGAUGGGGCCCACGGGCCGAGAGAGCGGGCGUGGGUGGCCCAUUAGCCGUGGGCGGGUCGGGGCGUUAUAGUGAUACCCUCCCAAGUACAACAAUCGCUGCUAUUCCGCCAUGAUUCCGUUUUCGGAUGACGCUUUACUAUAUCAUCAUCAAAAUAACAAUCAUAAGCAAAGGAAGAGUUUAGAACCUCAAACUCGUUCUUCAACAGAAGAAGUGCAUCCCUUUGAUCCGGACGACACAAGUGCGUAGUUGGAACCGCAGACACGUCCCCAUAACUGUAGCCGAAUAAAAAAAGUAUAGAAAGAGUAAGAGAAAUGGUACUCGUUAAGUUCCAAAAGCCUUUCAUUCUUCUUUAAGCUUAUUUAACUUUCUUGAAUAUCAAAAACUGAAAGAGCAAAAAGAAAAGGGAAAUUGGUGAUGAGUAACAUGCUUCCAUGGCCAUUUCUUUAUAUACACAAUAAUAGACUCUGUAUUUACUCCACACAAAACAAAAUCCACAGAGAAAAAUACAUUAUUCGUCACGUCGAAAGCAAAAUCUUUGUGUCGGAUAGUCAAUUUUCUACACAUAUUGGUCCCCUACACUAAUUACAUGAAUUUUCAAAAAAAAAAGAAUUGUCUAAACCAAAGAAGACGUAAUUUAGGUUUAUAUUUGGAUUUAAACUAAGAGCACCCGCAAUGGGAAUCUUUAAGGAUGAGUCCUUAGGAAAAAAAUAAUUAAAUAAUCGGUGAAUCCCACCAAAAGUUAAGGAUUCAAUCUUUAAAAUUCCUAAAUAAGGACUCUUUUUUAGUGAAUCCUUGCACUAUUUGCGGGUCCCGACGACAUGUGGCGAUUCGCGAUUGGUUGAUAUUUAUUUUUUUUUAUCUAAAAAAAUAAAAUAAAUAAUAAUACUUAAAAAAUCAAAAUAUAUUUUUUCUAAAGAUUCGCCUUUGAGUAACACUAUUGUGGGUGCUCUAACGUAUACUACGACCCAUGCAUAUUGACCCAAAAGUACUAACGUUUACGAUUACGAGACCCAUGCAUAUUUGCAUAUAAUGUAGUCUUUCGAUUUGAUAGUACAAGUUUUAUCUUUUUUACUUAUUCUAUUUAAAAAUUCAAGAUUUUAUGACAUUCCUUGCUUUAAAAAAAGAACUAAUUUAACUACUAAACUAGCGUAAUUUUGAUAGAAUUUCAAAAUAAGAAUCAUGCAUCUCCUAUAUUAAUAAGAAGAAAACAAACAUCAACCUUUUCAAAAAAAAUCAACGGCGAACGGUCUUAUUUUUAUUUUUGGUUUAUUCCUCGUGACUUCCAAAAUGAAAAAUAUAUGCAAAAUGACAAAAAGAUUAAACUCUUUACUAAGAAUCAAUCAAAAUGAACAAAAAUAUCAAUCUGCAUGAGAACAUUCUUCAUAACAGAAAAAUCAACUCUUCGUCGUGAAUGUACCGGCGAUCGAGCCAUAUGGCCCAUAUCAUAGUGAGUACAUUCUUCAACUAAUAUUCCUCAGGGCGAGAUCGUCAGGAAGAAACCAAGAUUUUACUCGAUCGCUUUCUUUUUGUUUCUUCAAUAUAUGGCUGUAGUAACCAAAAACAAAUAAAUAAAUGUUGAUGAACCAAUCAGUUUCCGCAUUUUUUUCUUUCUCACGUCAAUAAUAACAAGUUUUGGUGAUAAUCAUCUCACUUUCAUUAGAUAAAAUAUACAGAAAAGAGACAACUAGUGAUGAGAAACCAAAACUUCCAUACGGAAGAGGCUCGUUCAGAUUUUCUUAUUAUGUUUUUCCCCACUUUCUAGAUUAAUGUAAUUUUGUAAUAUACAUUAUUAAUCGUUUCAUAUAUAGUUUCAAGCAACCUACGAGAGACUUCCAAGUCCACAAGAAGGUUAGGGGAAUCAUCUACCUUCAUCCAUGAACCAUCUUCACCACGCGGUUGAACCACGAAGCUGACUCCUUUCACGUCAGAAUCUACCACCAGCUCCGAAACGUAAUAGGCUGGUACGUGAGACACUCCUAGGAACACUCUCUCGCUUCUUGGUUUCUCCAGAACCUUUCUUGAUCUUAGUACAUCAGUUGACUUCACAUUCUCUGCAUACACAUUGUACACUGGGAGAACAGAGUCUUCAAGCUGUGUCUGUCUCCAUUCUAGCUUAACCUUAAGGAUCCUAGAACCGGAUUUACCCAGUACAAGCUCUAAGUUAUGAGCCUCGAUUACCCAUGAUGUCGCUGGAGGUAAGGAAACGAGGUUUUGCUGGAGUAGCUGAACAUGAUGAUCUUUGAUUGAGAUGUGAUCCAUGAUUCCCUCCUCCGUUAUAAGAUGCCUCUCUAGUACUAAACAAAUUCAUGUGCUCACCGUUAUACGUUUGCAAACAAAUAGUGAGCUGAAUGAUAUCAGUGUUGUCUUCCUUGAACUCUAGGAUUGGCUAACAUUAAUAACACAACAAAGGCACCCAUCAGAUGAGAGAAGAGACAAAAUAUUAUAUGCGCAGUUAAAGCGAGGACGAUAAGAUGGUUGAACCUGAAGACUUUGGCAAGAAAUGUUGUACCAUGGAGCAUCAGAUAACUGGCGACCCUCGAGUGAAACAUGGUAACCAAAGCUCUGGAUAAACGAGAAAAGAUAUUUUCAGAACAUAACUUAACAUAAAUCAUCGCCAAGACAGUCGAUGUAUACUUUACCUGAUUGAAGUCAGAGUAAAAAGGCAAGACUUGUGGAUAUGUUUGGACUACUCCCCAUGACUUCUCAACAAGUGACCACCAUCUGAAGGGAAAACGAAUGAACGAUAAUAAGAUGACAAAGAAAUGCCAAUUUAUUUUACAAGCAAACAGACAAAAGAAGUAAUACUUAUUCUGAGCUGUAUGAAAAUUAGGAGGCUGUGCAGUCUCAUAUACCCAUCCAGGAGCGAAAAUGGCAGCUGAUACAUUGUUUCUCUUCAGCAAAUCAAGAGCAGUAUUAACCUAUAAUAUAUAGAUUAAUGAGACAAUGAUUGAAUCUUUAAGCUUCUGAGAUUUCAGAUUGUUGAUUUGGAACCAUAUCUUUGAGCAUCUACUCAAUUGAGUUGAAUUGUGUUGUUGUUGUACAGGGAAGAAGUUGUAGAGAUUAGAUUGUGGAGAAGCUAUGGUAGAGCAAUGGUUGGAUCUGAGAAGAGAGCUCAGCUCAUGGAGAUUGGAGAAACUGUUAUUAUUCUUACUCACUAGGUUUCAAGUUAGAGUAAUGCUUUUUUUUUUUGUGUUUACUUAUCUUAUUUAGGGUACAUUGGUAGCAAAGCAGAUUGGUGAAAGAAACUCUUGUAGUAAUCUGACAGACAUAUCAACAUGUACUUUUGUCAAGUGUUUAAUGUAUUAUCGUUUGUGUAUCAAUGCCUGCAGUUCCAAAUAGAGUUUUUUUCUCCUUUUUUGUUAUCAGCAAUUAGUCUUUUGCGUAAUCAGGUCUCAAAGUUCUCUUUCCAGGACAAUGUACAUCAGAGACAUUCAUGUUCUUCCAUAAUUUACGUUUGGAAGACCAAACCCACCAAGCUAUUGUUUGGCUGUUUGCUUAUAUGACUUUGCAUCAAUCUUUAUCGUGUUGAAGCUCACGCAUCUUCUUCUGAAGAAGAUUGUUUCUGUAGAUUAAUAAAGAAGGGAACAGAAUGGGGGCAAGGCAUGGGCCUAUUCAUCAUUUGUGUUGGCUUGAUCUUUUCAUUGCUACUUACAUGAUUGGCUCGUGGGUUCGAGUCCAAGCUCGUAGGUCACACACAUCAUGAUCAUGUAGUGGCUUAUCUUUGAGAUUUUGGUAUUGAGCUUUAAGUAUAAUGUUGAAAAAUCAAAGGAUAACGUACCAGAGGGAUUGUGAAAGUGACCAAUCAGUUGGCUGUUUCUUUUUUGAGAUCGUGGACACCAAAACAAAGAGAAGCAAGACUUGGAUUCGAUUAAAAAGUCAGUCAAGAAAAAUAUAAAAAGAAAGAUCCAAGAGGAAUUUUCUUAUAAAAUGGAUAAUGAUCGUUAAACCCAAAUUUUAGUUGAGUAUAUAUAUAUUUAGUUAUUGUUAAUUGUUAAUUUAGAUUAUACAUAUUUAAUCAAACAAUCAAAGGUUGAAAUAGAAACAAGAGAGUGUGGACAUGAAGAAAACAAGACCCCUUUAGGCCUUUACUAGCCAUUUCUCUUCCUCUUCUACUCAUCAUUCAUUAUCAAUGAGAAUAUUACCAAUCACAAGAUAAAUCAACGCAAACUUUUUUUUUUUUUUUUUGUAUUGUCACAUUCGAAAAUCAUAAGCUUAAAACCUUUUGAACUUUGUAUAUACACAAAAUGGAAUCUUGAUAAUUAUAUUUGCAAAGUUUAUAGUUUCUAUGAGUUAAUGUGUCUCAUUGAUAUGAACAAUCGAAAUAUCCAUAUAUAAUAUGUACAUCCUUUUCUAAAGCGCUGUGUAACUGUGUUGAUUAUAGCUUUUAUCUGGAUCAUCUGUUCAUUGCUCAUCUCACGUCUAAACAGUUGAUGUUAAGAUUCACAAGAGGGGAAAAGACGACACAUCUUUGACUGUGCUUGUAAUUUUCAGCGUAAGAAACAUAGUUGUUGUUCAAUUACAGAGAAACAAAGAAAUUUGCUAAAACGUAAAAAAAAAUAGAGAUAGAGAAAAAACACACCAAGCUAAACCAGAAACGAUAUCCCAAAUCUUAUUUGAAAUUAUGAUAGACAUAGUAAUUGCUUCGGAUUUCAUCUUUCAGAUUCCGCAGGUAGCUUAUAAAAGACCUGUACCAAAAAAAGAAAAGGUUAACUCAGGUGAUUUCACUAUUAAUAUUUUUGUUUCUUCAAAUGUUUGCUAACAAGUUGACUUAAAACUCUAGAAUAUAUUACCUCUUUAAUGAGUUGUGCUGCUGCUGAUUCUGCGCUUGUUUCGGGCAAAAGGGUCGAUGAACCACUCUGGUUUGUAGGAAAAGAGUAUGUAACCAAUCACCCAUCCAAAGGCAAUACCAGGUAUGACUCCUAUUACAGCUGCUAUCCAACUCAACACCUCUUCUUCUUCUUCAUCCUCUGAUUCCGGUGUUUCAUGCGGUGUUGGCAUGUGGAUAUCUCUGCAAUCUUCGUCAAGAGAAGGGCCAAAAAGUCCCGGAUUAUCCUCAAAGUAAGUGCAGUCCAGCCUUUGAAACUGAGUGCCUCCUGGUACUAGACCUGUAAGCUUGUUAUGAGAGAAGUUCAUGUACGAAAGGAACGAGAGGCUCCCUAGCUCUUGCGGAAUUUCUCCUGAAAGCUUGUUUUGGGAAACGUCUAGUGACUCAAGAGCCGUCAGGUUUCCAAGAGAUGAAGGGAUGUGGCCAGUGAAAGCAUUGUUCGACAAGUUAAGCAUAAGAAGCCCUUUUAAUAGACCGAUGGACCUUGGGAUCUCUCCUUCAAAUUUGUUUCCUGAAAAGUCAAGUGCUGUGUAGAUCUUUAGGAUACGUACAAACUCCAUCUCUAUACCUUUAUUCAUCAACACCAUUGAAUCAUGGUAAUAGGAACCUCCCAUGUAAUUGUCAAACCGCUGAUCAUAAUUGUCCCCCAAUGAUGACAUAGCACUCCACUUCACAAAGUAGUCUGAUGACAAAGAUCCAUUGAAGUGAUUGUGCGAUAUGUCGAUGAUUUGCAACUUAGGGAACGAAGUUUGAAGUACCGGUCCAUGGAACGCAUUGGAGCGUAAUACAAGAAUUUUUAACUCUCGUAGAGAAUGCAACCAGAACGGAAACGUAUCAUUGAAAAUGUUGCUUUCCACGUUCAGAACUUCAAGACUAGAGAAAUGGAUCAAAGAUCUUGGAAGCCUUCCUGUCAGUUGGUUAUGACCAACGUCAAGCGUUCUUAAGCUUUCAAAUAUAGUCUCCGGAAGACCUCCAUGAAGACGAUUUUGACGAAGGUUUAGAUAUAAAAGAGAACGUUUGAGAUUUCCCAGACAACGAGGGAUUAAACCGACGAAUUUGUUGUUCGAUAAAUCAAGAGUGUAUACAUAGCGCAAAUCACAUAUGAAAGAGGGAAUCUUUCCCGUGAAAUUGUUGUUGGAGGCAAUCAAGUUUACGAUAGAAACUGUUGUUGAGUUUCCGAAGCCAGUGAAAGUGUUGUUGGAAAGAUUCAGGUAAGCCAGCUUUGGUAGCGUCCAUAACCAGCCAGGCACUUGACCUUUGAUUUUAUUGUUGGAAAUGUCUAGCCACUCCAUAUGUUGGUUUCUUGGAAAUUCUGGAAACUCGGUGAUACCGCAGCCUGACAAUUCCAAAUAACGCAGCAAAGGGGGACCUGAAACUGGACUCUUGUUUGUGGCAGAAACAGGGUUGCCUGAGAGAACCAACCUCUCGAGCCUCUUAAAAUAUGACAAGAAAUCAUUCAAGUCAAUGGCAGUGGUCGUGUUCAAAUAGGAUAGGUCAAGAUCUUCCAGCCUCUUGAGAUGCGAGAAGAUGUUAAAGUCCACUGGAGCUUGUGUCUUGUAGUGGGAAAGGUCAAGUUGGACAAGGUUGGUAAAUUUGGAUAUCGCGGCCGGGAUUGGCCCUCUCAAGUUGUUAUUGCCAACGUCUAACUUUCGUAGCUGAGGUGGUGAAGAUAUAUUCCCAAACUCAAGAAUACCGUUUAAUUGAUUAUCAGACAAAUCAACAAUAUCCAUAGAAGGAAUGGUGAAGAGAGAAGAAGGC